UACAGAGGUGUCAAGCGUUGUUCGGAUUUAUUGGGCGUAAAGGGUGCGUAGGCGGCGCGGUAAGUCGGGUGUGAAAUCUCGGAGCUUAACUCCGAGACUGCAUUCGAUACUGCCGUGCUUGAGGACUGGAGAGGAGACUGGAAUUUACGGUGUAGCGGUGAAAUGCGUAGAUAUCGUAAGGAAGACCAGUGGCGAAGGCGGGUCUCUGGACAGUUCCUGACGCUGAGGCACGAAAGUCAGGGGAGCAAACAGG
rnacentral:rRNA from 1 species